AUCCAACAACUCCUCAGGCUCUUACAGCUAGUGAAAGAAAUGGCCUUCGUUUUCAAAAGCCAGCCUCCAGGAACACAUGGAAAUGAGGACAUCUGAGCUCAGAGAGAAAGGAACCAUGGAGAACCUUCUGGACACAGCUUUAUGGAGCAGAAAUAUGAUUUUCUUUUAUCUAGAAGAGCUUCAUAUUGGUUGCUUCCUCCUUGGACUCCCAAGCUUCCAAGGUGUACACACUUGGGUUGAUAUUUUAGCCCAUGGUCCUUCCAGUGUACACAUCUCACAUGCUCCCAAGAAUGUGUCUUUUCAACUGCUAGAUUGUAGGUUUCUUGAAAAAUAAAACAGUCAGAGUUUGUGCUAAGUUCUUCACGUAUCAUCCCAUUCUGUUCUCACAAUAAUCCCUCAAGAGGGGUAUUAGGAUCAUCCCCAUUUUUUUGUUUUUGUUUUGAAAUAAGUGAGGGCAUGGAGGUUACGAUAACUUGC